UACAGAGGGGGCAAGCGUUAUUCGGAAUUAUUGGGCGUAAAGGGCGCGUAGGCGGUGAUUCAAGUUGGAUGUGUAAUCCCCGAGCUCAACUUGGGAACUGCAUCCAAGACUGGAUUGCUAGAGUGCUGGAGAGGGUGGUGGAAUUCCUCGUGUAGCGGUGAAAUGCGUAGAUAUUAGGAGGAACACCGGUGGCGAAGGCGGCUGCCUGGACCGAUACUGACGCUGAGACGCGAAAGCGUGGGGAGCAAACAGGAUUAGAUACCCUAGUAGU
rnacentral:rRNA from 1 species